rnacentral:rRNA from 1 species
UACUUAGUGGCAGACGGGUGAGUAACAUGUGGGUAUCUACCCUUUGGCCUGGAAUAACACGAGGAAACUUGUGCUAAUACCGGAUAAGUCUUUACGGAGAAAGCUUUAUGCACCAUUGGAUGAGCCCGCACUUGAUUAGUUUGUUGGUAGGGUAAUGGCCUACCAAGACUAUGAUCAAUAGCUGAUUUGAGAGGAUGAUCAGCCACAUUGGGACUGAGACACGGCCCAAACUCCUACGGGAGGCAGCAGUGGGGAAUCUUGCACAAUGGAGGAAACUCUGAUGCAGCGAUGCCGCGUGAGUGAAGAAGGCCUUUGGGUUGUAAAGCUCUUUCGUCGGGGAAGAAAAUGACUGUACCCGAAUAAGAAGGUCCGGCUAACUUCGUGCCAGCAGCCGCGGUAAUACGAAGGGACCUAGCGUAGUUCGGAAUUACUGGGCUUAAAGAGUUCGUAGGUGGUUGAAAAAGUUGGUGGUGAAAUCCCAGAGCUUAACUCUGGAACUGCCAUCAAAACUUUUCAGCUAGAGUAUGAUAGAGGAAAGCAGAAUUUCU